UGUCCGGCCACACUGGGACUGAGAUACGGCCCAGACUCCUACGGGAGGCAGCAGUGGGGAAUAUUGCACAAUGGGCGCAAGCCUGAUGCAGCGACGCCGCGUGGGGGAUGACGGCCUUCGGGUUGUAAACCUCUUUCAGCAGGGACGAAGCGCAAGUGACGGUACCUGCAGAAGAAGCACCGGCCAACUACGUGCCAGCAGCCGCGGUAAUACGUAGGGUGCGAGCGUUGUCCGGAAUUACUGGGCGUAAAGAGCUCGUAGGUGGUUUGUCGCGUUGUUCGUGAAAACCGGGGGCUUAACCCUCGGCGUGCGGGCGAUACGGGCAGACUAGAGUACUGCAGGGGAGACUGGAAUUCCU
rnacentral:rRNA from 1 species